GUAUUUUACUUUUAUUAGAA
rnacentral:tRNA from 2 species